rnacentral:lncRNA from 1 species
UUAAAAGUAGUGAACCCCCAACUAAAAAUACAAAAAUUAGCCAGGCGUGGUGGCACGUGCCUGUAAGCCCAGCUACUCGGGAGGCUGAGGCAGGAGAACUGCUUCAACCUGGGGGAUGGACGUUGCAGAUAGCCGCGAUCACGCUGCUGCACUCCAGCUGGGGCAACAGAGCGAUACUCCAUCUCAAAUAAUAAUAAUAAUAAUAAUAAUAAUAAUAAUAAUAAUAAUAAUAAAAACUGCUCAAUACCUGCGUGAUGGGAUCCGUACUCCAAACCUCAGAUCACGCAGUAUUCCCACAUAACAAAUCUGCACAUGUACACCCUGUAUCUAAAACAAGAGUUGAAAUUAGCAAAACGAGUGUGCCCUUGUCCCAGGCCUUCUCCCAGGGCCUGGGAAUGAGGAAUCUAAACCACGGUGAAGCCACCUCUGCUAAUGAUGUUUGUUUUUUACCUUAAAUGUUACUUUUUUUUUUUUUUUUUUUUUUUUUUGGCAAAAGGAAUGUGAGACAGUCUUCUUCAGGAAGGUAGUCCGUGUCCCCCUCCAUCAGUGCCUUCAGGUGCUGGGCAUUUCAGUUUACAGCCCUGCUCCCUCUGCGUCCUUGCUGCCUGUAGGUCCUGGCUCAGUCCUGGUGACUUCCAGGUCAUUUCCUCCCUCGCCCUGACCAUGCCAGGCCCAGCCUCUUUCACUCAAGCCAGGGCUUCCUCUGGGCCAGUCUGCGCCAGGCUUCUCCGUGUGCCCCCCGCCGCCUGCCCUCCCGCCGCUGUCUUAGCCGCACCCCAGGACCUCCCAGGGCGCUCAGCAGUUCCGCCUCUGUUUCCAGCAGCUUCUCCACACCUCCGUCUUCCCACCGUGCAGCCUGGACGCCAGGCCUGUCGCUUGCAGCCCUCUCGGGACCUUCUGGCCUCCCGACACAGCUUGCUGCGGAAGUAA